AUUGCGGCGGUCUCUAAUUCGCUUGGUGCAGGUCGGGAAUUUUCUUCGCCGGCGAUGUCGUUUCUCGUGAAUAUUGCGCUCCAAAAUCGGGCAUAUGCAUAACUGUAUGAAUAACAAUAUAUGAACUUAUUAAUUGAUGUCGUUAUUUGGCGAAAUAUCAGGUUCCCGCCUUGCACUAAGCGAAUUAGAGACCGCGGUGAAU
rnacentral:pre_miRNA from 1 species